rnacentral:misc_RNA from 1 species
AAGUCGUAACAAGGUAACCGUAGGUGAACCUGCGGUUGGAUCAUUAAUAAUAAAUUGAAGUUAGACUUCAAAAAACAAAGGACUUCGGUCCCGAGUAUACACCCUUGUGAACUGUUUAGCUUCGGCUAUUUUAUAUAAACUAAUUAAUUUAAGACUGAAUCAAUGAGAUAAUUAAAAAACAACUUUUAACAACGGAUCUCUUGGCUCUC